GACGAACGCUGGCGGCGUGCUUAACACAUGCAAGUCGAACGGGGUAGCAAUACCCAGUGGCGGACGGGUGAGUAACGCGUAGGAAUCUGCCUUUAGAUGGGGGAUAGCAGACCGAAAGGUCUAUUAAUACCGCAUAUGUAUGCACUUAGACAUUUGUGCAUAUGAAAGGAGUAAUCUGUCUGAAGAUGAGCCUGCGUCCGAUUAGCUAGUUGGUAGGUAACGCCACCAAGGCGACGAUCGGUAGGUGGUCUGAGAGGAUGAUCACCACAAUGGGACUGAGACACGGCCCAUACUCCUACGGGAGGCAGCAGUGGGGAAUUUUGUGCAAUGGGCGAAAGCCUGACACAGCGACACCGCGUGAACGAAGAAGG
rnacentral:rRNA from 1 species